UAUUAAAACUUCAUUUUCAGCCACUUCUAAUAUUAUUCGUACAAUAUACAUAUGUAAGUAUAUAUAUAUGUAUAUCUUUUCCUUGUGUAUGUCCUUUAACGCAUCUCGUGUUACACUAUUCUGACCAAAAUAUUCCAUAAUUUUGUACGAACAAAAACAA